rnacentral:tRNA from 1 species
CAUUAGAUGACUGAAAGCAAGUAAUGGUCUCUUAAACCACCUUAUAGUAAAUUAGCAUCUACUUUUAAUGG